AUUGAACGCUGGCGGCAUGCUUUACACAUGCAAGUCGAACGAGUGGCGGACGGGUGAGUAAUGCUUCGGAAUCUAGCCUAUGGAGGGGGAUAACUACUGGAAACUGUAGCUAAUACCGCAUACUCUAGGAUGAGCCCAUGUCGGAUUAGCUAGUUGGUGAGGUAAAGGCUCACCAAGGCAACGAUCCGUAGCUGGUUUGAGAGGAUGACCAGACACACUGGGACUGAGACACGGCCCAGACUCCUACGGGAGGCAGCAGUGGGGAAGAUUGCACAAUGGGCGCAAGCCUGAUGCAGCCAUGCCGCGUGUAUGAAGAAGGCCUUCGGGUUGUAAAGUACUUUCAGCGGGGAGGCGUUACUGGCAGAAGAAGCACCGGCUAACUCCGUGCCAGCAGCCGCGGUAAUAC
rnacentral:rRNA from 1 species